rnacentral:rRNA from 1 species
UACAGAGGUCCCAAGCGUUGUUCGGAUUCAUUGGGCGUAAAGGGUGCGUAGGCGGCGCGGUAAGUCGGGUGUGAAAUCUCGGAGCUUAACUCCGAAACUGCAUUCGAUACUGCCGUGCUUGAGGACUGGAGAGGAGACUGGAAUUUACGGUGUAGCGGUGAAAUGCGUAGAUAUGACAUAGAACACCCAUUGCGAAGGCAGCUAACUACGCGAUAAUUGACGCUGAUGCACGAAAGCGUGGGGAUCAAACAGG